GCAAAUAUUUUACCACAUCAAUCUUCAAAGUCAACAAUCAUGAUAUUGUACAAACAUUUGAUUGUUCAAACGUCAUACCUUAAAUGAAAUACUACUAGCAUUGUUGGAAAAUCUAUUUGAUAUCCUCCAAAAACAUACUGUUUCUGUUUAUCAGCCAUACAACGAUGGACUGCCAAAGUUGAAUUCUUUUAAAAUAAAGAUGCUUAGCCGGUGCCGUUAGCGACCUAGGGACGGCAGGAUCAACGGUGCUUCAGAAUGCUCUGCCGUUUUGGGAGUUAAAAGAGAUCCCCAAGGCCCCACUGUUUGAGCCCCAUUUGGAAACCAAUAAGCAUGACCAAAUGAAUUGAUAGCACUUGAUGAAUUUUGAACCUGAUAUCUUGGGAGAUAGUAAAUCCUAAAUCUCAGGUCUUGACCUCCGGACCAUCCUUGGGGUUUUGUCAUUUAAAAACUUUGAGAGAUGACUUACAAUCUUUUGGGACGAAAUGAGUAUCUCAAUUUGUAAAUUUAGCUUUUUGGAAAGACAAAACUAGGCAUACAAGAAUCAUUUUCGUUUUUCGUGAAUCUGUUUUUAACUUAUCGGUGAUAAAAUUUUGACCUGAUAUAUAAGAACACUCCAGCAAAUUCAAAUAGAAAAAGAAGCAAAAGGCCAAAAGUAGAGGUGUUGUGGUGGAGAGAGCUAGUAACUAACUGCUUGCAAUAAAACUAACUGCUUGCACUAAAUAACGAGGGUUUUGGCGUAGCAGGGCCAACCAAACAACGAAUACAAGCCAAAAAAUGGUGUGCAUUAUUUAAGCCUAAAACGGCAGCACUUUCGAGCACCGUUGAUCUUGCCGUCCUACUGUUACUGACAAUGUCAGGAGACGACUUACGAGUGAUAUAGCCAGUCUCGGGUCGUACGAAUUAGUAUGAACAGGAAAUGCGAACAGCAUAGGAAAUGGAAGCAGCAACUCAACCGAAGCAGAGAGGCAAGCAAAAUAAACACUUGUAACACGAAAGCAUAUAAACAUAUACAUGGACACAAAACAUCCUCAAGUCAAAAUAAACAGGAAAAAUGCGCAACCACAAUCUAGUAUACGACAACUAAAAUGCUAAAUCCUUGCAACAUUCCAAUUACAACAUAUAAUGUUCUGUUCGUGAAUAUUGUAGGUAGAUUCCCACUAAUCUUGUUUAUUGAUUUUGAGAAAGUCCUCUUGGGGAGAUGCGGGCCCGCAGUGGAUAUUUCAUCACGGUAGUGAACUCCUGCUUCUCCGAUAGAUCAACGGUAUCCCCUUCAACAGCUGUCCAUUCAAAAUACCAAACCAAAUUCGCAACGAAAAACUCCAAGUGAAGCAUAGCCAUCCCAGC